AGUCACUGACAUUAGACUACCCCGGUAGUCCAGGGUGUAAACGCUGCAGACUUGGUGUUGGAGGCCCGUUUGGGGGCAUUCAGUGCCGGAGAGAAGUUGUUAAGUCUGCUACGUUGGGGAGUACGUCCGCAAGGAUAGAAACUUAAAGGAAUUGGCGGGGGAGCACCGCAACGGGAGGAGCGUGCGGUUUAAUUGGAUUCAACACCGUAAAACUCACCAGGGAAGACUGUUACAUGAAAGCCGAGAUGAAGACUCUGCUAGAUUUUCAG
rnacentral:rRNA from 1 species